rnacentral:rRNA from 1 species
GACGAACGCUGGCGGCGUGCUUAACACAUGCAAGUCGAACGGCAAGGCCCUGCUUUUGUGGGGUGCUCGAGUGGCGAACGGGUGAGUAACACGUGAGUAACCUGCCCUUGACUUUGGGAUAACUUCAGGAAACUGGGGCUAAUACCGGAUAGGAGCUCCUGCUGCAUGGUGGGGGUUGGAAAGUUUCGGCGGUUGGGGAUGGACUCGCGGCUUAUCAGCUUGUUGGUGGGGUAGUGGCUUACCAAGGCUUUGACGGGUAGCCGGCCUGGGAGGGUGACCGGCCACAGUGGGACUGAGAUACGGCCCAGACGCAACGGGAGGCAGCAGUGGGGAAUAUUGCACAACGGGCGGAAGCCUGAUGCAGCAACGCCGCGUGCGGGAUGACGGCCUUCGGGUUGUAAACCGCUUUCGCCUGUGACGAAGCGUGAGUGACGGUAAUGGGUAAAGAAGCACCGGCUAACUACGUG